UCCCUCUUAGCUCAGUUGGUAGAGCGCGUCACUAGUAUGUGUCACAAAGAUCAGAUCUUUUAUGACGAGGUCAGUCGUUCAAGUCGGCUAGAGGGAA